GUUUUUAAUGACAGGAGAAUUCUAAUACACCGAGGAGCUAGGAUUAAGAAGAAAGCUUAAAACUCCUCAGAACCUAUAAUCUACUUAUGAUUGUAUGACCUUAAAGGGGAGAGGGUAGUAUAUGUAUACUCUGUUCCAAGCUUAUUUGAUCACUGAAGCCUAUUUUUGCCAAGAAACAUCUUGGAGGCCACGGAUUUAGCUCAGUGGUUUCACCGCCUGCCUUGCAGGUGCAAGGACCCGAGUUUGAUCCCGGUACCAAAAAAAAAAAAAUCUUGGAACAUUGAGAAAUGCUAUUCCUUUUACUUCUAAAAUUAUUAUACUUUAGGGGCGAGGAUUUAGCUCUGUGGCUCUAUGUGCCUGCCUCGCAAACAAGAUCCUGAGUUCAACCCCUGGUACUGGGGAAAAAAUUAUUAUAUUUUACUCGAACAGUUUAUUGAGGUAACGAUUUCCAUAUUUGAACUUAGUGUAGCACUUUGGCCUAAACAAUUUUCAGGAAUUCAUAGAUAACUUUAUUUUUUAGAUUUUAAAAAUAAACACUUUCCUGUUCUCAAAAGUUGUUCUGACUUGCCCAGAUAGACCACUCAUCCCUCAUUAAUGUAGUAUUAAUAAAUUUUGAAUCAAACUCUGUUAGGAGUCAGGGAUGUAUAAGUGAUAGAGCCUUGAGCUCUGUUUCCAGUGUCUCCCAGGAUAGAACUUGAGAAUUUGCAUUUUAAUUCUCCCUUUAGCGAUUCUGAAAUGUAUGGGUGAUAGACCAGCCCAGAGGAAAUAAAGCUUGAACUUUUUUUGUGAACUUAAAUUGGCAUGUGUAUAGGUAUUUUGUAUAUGCUUACGUAUGUUUGUAUCUGUAUAUAUAUUAUACACAUGUACACAUGCUUAUUUUUAUUUAUUUAUUUUAUCACAUGAUUAUUUUUACAUUAGAAUGACCUCCCUCAACUUUUUUUCUCAUGAGCAUUUUCCCACAGCAUUAAAUAUCCUCUGAAAUGAUGAACUUCAUGAUUUUCUAUCAUUGCAUUCUAUAGAUAUGAUAUCAUUUGACAAUUUUUCUAUCUGGAACAUUUAGAUUGUUUUCCGUUAUACAUAAUUCUACAUGAGUAUUCUCAUACUAAAUAUCUCUGAGUUAUAUCCUUCCUUGGAAUUGAUUCAUCUGAGGGUCAAAAUAUCUGACUUAUGUUUUUAGGCUCAAGGUAGGAAUCAAUACCGCUUGUUUUCAUGCUUGUUCAUACUCUAUGUAGGAGUGGCCUGUUUCAAGUGACUCUUAUGUAUAAAUGGUAUGGACAGUCAUUGAUUUAUAACCUUUCUAGCAGUUCUUCCCUAAGACAUUAGUCUUACAAUAAAAAUUAUUUUUGGCUUCUAGUACAAAUAACUUUAUUAUGUCUUUCAACUAGGACAUACAAUGCAACUGUGAUUUUGUUGAAUGUUCUUGUGCCAACUUAAAAUUUGGGUAGUUUUUACUUUAUUAAAGGGAUAAAAAUCUUUACUGCUUCAAAUAUGUCCAUGACAAAUGCACAUGAAAGUAUUUUUAUCCUCACAGAGGUAUAUAUUUACAGUAAAAUAUAUUGUAUCUGUUCUUACAAAUUCAUGCUUUUUUUCUGGUAAUGAAUAUCAGUAUUUUUCUUAUAUGGGAAUACUGAAAAGGAAGUGUUGGUCAUGGAUUUGAAUGUUCCUUCUUAGCAGAGUAAGAACAGAGUUAGGGGAGGUCGUGGAAUAAUAGUGUGAAAAUUUUUUCUUCCCUAGUAGGAAAUAACAGUGUACAAAACUGAAAAGCAAAUAGCACUUUAAAUGAAUAUUUUAAAAAGCAAAGGGGAAGGGCUGGGAAUGUAGCACAGCAGUAGACCCUGCCCCUCCAAAAAAAACAAGAAGGGGGAGGAAAUACUAGGUGAAUAGUUAGGAGUGGAAGAAGGGGUCCUUAGAAGGAGCAAAGGGAUUGGGGAGGGAUGGUUGGGAUACUACUGGGUUGUUUUGUUUUGGAGGGCUGCCAUUUUUUUUUAUAAACCUUAUACUGUAAUACUGUUUGCUGCUUUGAAUGAUUUGUAUGUGUAUAUUCAUUUACUAUAAAAAUUAAAACACACAGAUAAGCUGCUCUGAAUAAUCAUAUCAGUAAUCACUGCUUGUUUCCACAUGGGCUUUCCAGUUAGUUGACAGUUCCUUUUCAAGUCUUUGUAACAUUCCAUUCCAUUCUCUAUACUGCAGCCAGAGUGAUUUUUUUCCCAAAUGUAAAUUGGAGCUGUCUUGCAUUCCCCAGCUUGAAACUGUUCAAUGCUUUUGCCUUACCUACCUUUUCAACCUACUCUUAACCAUCAGUGCUACCUAGGUUUGCAGCCCCAGCCAUGUGGGCCUUCUUUCAGUCCUUUGUCAGGGAUUUCCAUUAUUACAAAGCCUCCGCACAGCCUGCUCCCUCAGCCUGGCGUGCUCUUUUGCUUCUUUCCAGGUUCACCAACCCUGGACCUUCAGAUCACAGGUCUGUUGUCAUAACCUCAUGGAUAGCUUGCCUGGCCCCCUACUAGGUAGCAUAUUACGCUCACAGCACUUGCACUGCACUUUCCUGGUGCUUGUCACUCAUAGCUUCAUUUUUUACUUUUGUAUUUGACUGUUGUUUCUUUUUGCCAAUAGCUCUAUAAGCUACACAAAGGCAUAACUAUGUCUGAUUUUGUUUCCCUUUGUGCCUAGCUCUGUGCCUGGAAUAUAGCAGACAAUAAAUAGCAUCACCUGGC
rnacentral:lncRNA from 1 species